ACAAAGAUAAGAAAAGACUAAGUUUGUCCAAACGAGGUUGAAAAAAGCCAAACUUCGGCUAUGAAAAUUCCAACCAAAGCAGAACAACUUAGUGUGAGACACCCGAUCUCUGGAUUAGACCUCACAAAUGAUUAACAUGAGACACCUGAUCUCCAAAUUGGACCUCACGAUAUGGGAUAUCUGAUCUCCGGAUUAAAUCUCACAGAUAUUCAGUGUGAGAUAUCCGAUCUUCGGA
rnacentral:lncRNA from 1 species